CGGUAGCAGGCCGCAAGGUGCUGACGAGUGGCGAACGGGUGAGUAAUGCAUCGGAACGUGCCCAGUCGUGGGGGAUAACGCAGCGAAAGCUGCGCUAAUACCGCAUACGAUCUAUGGAUGAAAGCGGGGGACCGUAAGGCCUCGCGCGAUUGGAGCGGCCGAUGUCAGAUUAGGUAGUUGGUGGGGUAAAGGCUCACCAAGCCAACGAUCUGUAGCUGGUCUGAGAGGACGACCAGCCACACUGGAACUGAGACACGGUCCAGACUCCUACGGGAGGCAGCAGUAGGGAAUUUUGGACAAUGGGCGCAAGCCUGAUCCAGCAAUGCCGCGUGCAGGAAGAAGGCCUUCGGGUUGUAAACUGCUUUUGUACGGAACGAAACGGUGAGCUCUAAUACAGUUUGCUAAUGACGGUACCGUAAGAAUAAGCACCGGCUAACUACGUGCCAGCAGCCGCGGUAAUACGUAGGGUGCAAGCGUUAAUCGGAAUUACUGGGCGUAAAGCGUGCGCAGGCGGUUUUGUAAGACAGUCGUGAAAUCCCCGGGCUCAACCUGGGAAUUGCGAUUGUGACUGCAAAGCUGGAGUGCGGCAGAGGGGGAUGGAAUUCCGCGUGUAGCAGUGAAAUGCGUAGAUAUGCGGAGGAACACCGAUGGCGAAGGCAAUCCCCUGGGCCUGCACUGACGCUCAUGCACGAAAGCGUGG
rnacentral:rRNA from 1 species